ACGGCAUGAUGGGGACAUUUUCAGAUGAGGUCCUUUAAUCUUUCCCAUGAUUCAUGGAACUGCUCACCAUCUUGUUGGGAGAAGCUAGUUAGAGCUCGUCUUAUCU
rnacentral:snoRNA from 1 species